UGAGUAACCUGCCCCAGACUCUGGGAUAAGCACUGGAAACGGUGUCUAAUACCGGAUAUGAGCUUCAGCCGCAUGGCUAGGAGUUGGAAAGAAUUUCGGUUUGGGAUGGACUCGCGGCCUAUCAGCUUGUUGGUGAGGUAAUGGCUCACCAAGGCGACGACGGGUAGCCGGCCUGAGAGGGUGACCCGGCCACACUGGGACUGAGACACGGCCCAGACUCCUACGGGAGNAG
rnacentral:rRNA from 1 species